GUUCUCUGACCACACUGUGAUGUCUGUCGGGUUUUUAAAGCGACUUGAGUCCUCCAAACCCUGCUGUAUGCAUGUCUGGAUCCUGGGGCUCAAACCCUGCUGAGGUUGGGAUGGGGCCUGGAAUCCAGGAGAAGGUUUCGGAUUAAGCGUGUCUGCUGUUUCUUUCUUUCUUCUUCUUUUUUUCUUUUCCUUGUGUUAAUUUACAAGCGUUAGAACAUCUGCUCAAAGGACUUGGCCAAAGAUGGCUUUAUUUUUUUCACUCAACGGCAAAGGUCCACAGGUAACCUGGCAUCCGGCAGAGUGGGGCUCUAGACUUGAUGUCAUUAGGGGCUUGAUGACUUUUCCCUGUGUCCUCCUCCGCUCCCACUGCCUUGGCUUUAUGUUCAAGCUGCUCAUUAGAUCUUCCAGGACUUCAAAGCUGUUUCUUCGAGGCCAGCAGAUGACUGAGGAAGUUCUAGUCUCUGAGGGCCAGUGACGGUCUACUGGGAUAGGCCACCACUCAGAGGCACACCUGUGAGCCCAGCCUUUGGGCCAGGAGGAUGUGGCACACUCAUUAGCCCCUGCCUGUGUGGCUUGGUCCACCCUCGAAGCGCUUUGGAAACCGACAAAGCUAGCACACGUGUGGCGGACUGCAUCAUCUCCCAAGGCUGACUUGGGGAACGGAGGUCUGCCACCACUCAGAAACCUGGGAAAUGUCUGUGAGAUGAAUGACCAGCACUCUUUUAAUGCUAGUCAUUUAGCAUCUGCAUUUAGCCCAAGAAGAAAAUACUACUGAGGCUAAAGAGAAAGAAGCAUUGGGUCCUGAGGGGUGGCUCAUGGUUAAGAACUCCAGCUCCAGGGAGACUCAAUGUCUCCAGCUAAUGUGGACACCUGCACUCAUAUGCUUAUGCAUAUACCCAACGUUACAAAUAAUAAAUAUGAAUA